UCUAUUAUUUAUAGCAAAUUAAUAAAUUAUUUUGGUGUAUUUGAACGAGCUCAUAAAACGACCGUUUUGCCAGCUCGGUGGAGUGUUUUUUUUUCUGGGUCCUCUCUGCCUUCUUUAACGACGUACACGUGUCUUCACUGCAAGCACCCAUACAAAAAAAAGAAGGAAAAGUGCAAGUAUAAAAAUAUACUAUUACACAACUGCCACCAUCAAAGCUCAAAACUAUUUGUUAAACAGUAUUUUCUCCACACUGGCAAUGGCUACUUCUCUCCACCCAAGCAACGCCUUUUAUCACCGUUUCACUCCUACUUCGUAUAAGCAUCGAAAUUUGAACUUUUACCGGCGCUUUCCGUCUUCAUUUUCCGGUAGAUUUAGGGUUUUAACUUACCGAGGCAGCGGGCAUGGAGUUUGCUCCUCCUCGACCUCGAGUAUUAGUAAAGCGAGUAAUGCUAAUAAUACGGAGACUGAGAAGGUUGCUGUUCAACAAGAGAAAGAGAACGGCAACGAACGUCCUCCUUUUGAUAUCAAUCUCGCUGUCGCUCUUGCUGGUUUCGCUUUCGAAGCCUAUACCAGCUCCCCUAAAAAUGUAGGGAAGUGGGAGGCUGAUGCUGCAGGUUGUAAGACUGUGUAUCUCUCAGAGUAUGUGAUCAUUUAUUUCCAGUAACACUCAAAGCUUAAAUAUUUACUCCUUGCUCUCCUUGUUGUUGCAGAGAAGAUGCAUCAGGCCGGCUAUUUGUAUAGCCUGACUUUAUUUGUUUAUUGAAAUUAUGUUAGCAUAGAAUGAUUGAAUCAAGUAGAGUAACAAAGUCACAUUUUACUAAAUUUAAUCCAAGGCUGAUUGAUAUGUUUGCAGGUUACGUGAGAUAUAUGAUGGACAAUUGUUUAUAAAAUUGAAAAAGGGUUUUGAUUUUCCAGCCUUGGAUCCAUGGGUGCGUUAUCGAAUUUAACCCUUUUGCAUUGAGGACUGGGAUUUAUGAGCAAGUUUUGAACUGACAUGGUCACACAUUCUGCUUUUCAUAUAUACCACCUUACUGAUUAAACCAUGGAUGUAUACGGAAAAAGUAAUCCUUAUGUGGUUAUGGAACUGGAUGGACAGGUUCUCAAAAGCAAGGUCAAAUGGGGGUAAGCUGUCGAUGUUUCCAUAUCACAAACACACACAAACUGAAUCUGAAGCUUCAAUUUUUACCCUGCUCUAAAUUCCACUAUGCUGAAAUUUUUUGCACUGUAUAGCAUAUGUAUUGGUUGCGAAUGCUAUUGCGUGAGCUGCAGGUUUCUCUUGCUUCUGCUCCAGUAGUAUGGUGUGAUAACAUCAGUGCCUUAGCUCUUGCCUCAAAUCCAAUAUUUCAUGCCCGAUCCAAACACAUUGAAGUGGAUUAUCACUUUGUCCGAGAAAAGGUGGCCAACAAAGAUAUCCUUCUUCAACACGUUCCCACCUCUCUACAACCUGCAGAUAUAUUUACUAAGGGACAUACAGCUGACCGAUUCUGCUUUCUCCGAGAUAAACUUGCUAUAACAGAUCUCCCUGCCAGCUUAUGGGGGAAUGAUAAGGAUAAAGCUUAUGUUAAUGAUAAAGAUAAACCUCAGCAUGCAGAGGCUGCUGAAAGACAUUGAGUUUUAGUGCAAUUGUUUUAGAACUUUGAUUCUUGCUUAUUCUUAGCUUCCCUUCUGUAUCAAAACACUUGUAAUUAACGAUGAAUAUUCUAUAACAACUUUCAUAUAUAUAUAUGGCUUAGAGAACACAGUUUCUCUCAAGCAAUUGCAGAAGUAUUAUAUGCUUUCUUCUUUCUCCUUUGAACCUAGCAAUUCGGUUGAAGCUUGGAAUGGUGGUUGACUGCACCUUUUUUCGAGAAUGGGCAAUAAUUAGCAUAAAUUAAAACUUGUCAUAGAAGCAACCUUCAUGGGGAUGUGAGAUUCUAAUGGAACUGAAAAUGAAUGAUGAUUAUCAUUAACUCUCUACAGGAAAGAUUUGAAAGGAAACUUUCACCUGAAUUUCUUUUAAUGUUCCUAUUUUGUUAUAAGUUCUGCUCUGAAGUGAAAAGUUGGAAAAAUUGUCAAAUUGUAUAAGCUCCAUUUUCCAUAGCUCUUCUUCUCUUUUUACUUCAUCUUUAUGAACCCCCCCCCCCCUGUUUGUUUAAACCUGCUAGGAAUUCCAUUUCAAAUCUGCUUUUUAUUUAUUUUAAUGCACUUGUUUUAAUUUUGUUACACAGACGAAUGGGAGGGCAGUUGUAGCGUCUAUAAUUUUUAUUCCCCGUUGUGGUUUGAAUUUUCAUCAAUCCCUGAUACUACUUGCAUCUUGAAAAACUUUUAUGCCUUCCUGAAUCCUGUACUUACAAUCUCCACCGGAAAAGGAACGCAGAUUACUAAGAUGACUGAGAGAUUGGCACGAGCCUUACAAUCAACUUGUUUUUUUUUCCUUCAGAUUUUGGACAAUCCUUGAUAUUUCACAUUGAAAUGGCUUUUCAUUCCAUACUUCAUGCAGUUUUAACAUCUCCAUUGGAGAAGGAACUCAUAAAAAUGUGGUUCUGAGUGGUACUAUAUUCGCUUUUAUGCUCUGCUAGAGUAAUGGCUAUUGCUAACUGGGAAAUUUGUGAGGAUGAUCUUGCCAGGGUUGCAGAAUAAUCUUAUGGACUGGAAGAUUUGCCUGAACUGUUAUAAAACUCAAGCCCAAAAAUCAACUCUAUAUUCUAUCCACUUCUGUUGGGUGACAACUAUCAUGUCACUAAUAGUUGUUUGCUUUCUCAAUCACUAUUUUCCUUUCAUUUUAAUGGAGGGCCCAUCUGACCUUCUUCUGCAUGAUGCAAUAUAGCAGUGUAUCAAAAUUUAGUAUAGCAUUUGAGUUGUUUAUAAAUUUUACACACUGACAUCGUUGCAAAAUAGCAGAAGAAUCAAAAAUUUUAAAAGUUUGCUCUGAACUGCUAACAAAAUAAACACAUGUAAAUCAUUUACUGAUAACAGGAAAAAGGAGCCGACUUGGGACAAGGACUUCACCAUUAACGUUAAGCUGCCUCUGACCAAAAAUCUUCAGGUUGCAGCUUGGGAUGCAAACCUUGUAACUCCACAUAAGCGCAUGGGUAACACAGGCAUUGGUCUGGAAUACUUAUGUGACGGAAACUUGCACGAGGUGCUGAUCAAUCUGGAAGGGAUGGGCGGUGGAGGAAAGUUGCAGUUGGAGAUGAAAGGUGAGAAGGAGCUCAUUGAGAAAAUAUUGCAAACUGAAAUAUAUCUAUUCAGUUCAAUGCGAGAUGGAAAGGGGAUUCUGCAUCAUAGGGAGGAUUUCUAUUACAUCACGCUGCUUGAGAAUGUGAGAUCAAACUACCAGACUAUUGGAAGGGUAGAAAGCAGUGAACGAGAUAGCUUCUCGACCAGCUAAGAAGGCAGUAAUAUCUGAAUGCUAGCAGCCGAAGCAUAUUCAUGUACGUUCCUGUCCUAUCAUUAAUGCUGAAUAAUUCUUCGGAGGUUAUCAGGCAAUGUGUCUGUAUGCAGCAUGUAACAGUCUGUCAGUCUUAUAGGAAACCCAUCAAAAGAAUACAUGUAAAGCACUACAGCUUAGGUAGGGGUGGGUCUGUGGGGUAGGAAAUGUAUCUUUACAGCAAUAUUUAUAUCAAAUCCAGAUCACACAUUUCCGUGACAACUUGUAUGAUUGGAUGUUGUACAAUCUCAAUAUCAAAAUACUAUUCAGUACGGA